CUUGACGGUCGAUGCGGAAGCGAACACGCCAGAGUCCUUCCUUCGACGACAGAUGUAGCAACAAUCACGACAAGGUCCCUCGAUUUGAGCAAUAGAAAAUGCAACAUGGACCGUCGACGACUAGCCUCUCUCAACCUACGAACAACAAUCUCGCUCAGGUCACAAGCCACAAAUGUAAGGUCGCCGAAGGUUAGGUUUUCGUUUCCAAAUAG
rnacentral:sRNA from 1 species